AGCGAACGCUGGCGGCAGGCCUAACACAUGCAAGUCAAACGGAUCCUUCGGGAUUAGUGGCGGACGGGUGAGUAACACGUGGGAACGUGCCCUUUGGUUCGGAACAACUCAGGGAAACUUGAGCUAAUACCGGAUGUGCCCUUCGGGGGAAAGAUUUAUCGCCAUUGGAGCGGCCCGCGUCUGAUUAGCUAGUUGGUGAGGUAACGGCCCACCAAGGCGACGAUCAGUAGCUGGUCUGAGAGGAUGAUCAGCCACACUGGGACUGAGACACGGCCCAGACUCCUACGGGAGGCAGCAGUGGGGAAUCUUGCGCAAUGGGCGAAAGCCUGACGCAGCCAUGCCGCGUGAAUGAUGAAGGUCUUAGGAUUGGAAAAUUCUUUCAGCGGGGACGAUAAUGACGUUACCCGCAGAAGAAGCUCCGGCUAACUUCGUG
rnacentral:rRNA from 1 species